CCUACGGGAGGCAGCAGUGGGGAAUCUUGCGCAAUGGGCGAAAGCCUGACGCAGCCAUGCCGCGUGAAUGAUGAAGGUCUUAGGAUUGUAAAAUUCUUUCACCGAGGACGAUAAUGACGGUACUCGGAGAAGAAGCCCCGGCUAACUUCGUGCCAGCAGCCGCGGUAAUACGAAGGGGGCUAGCGUUGCUCGGAAUUACUGGGCGUAAAGGGAGCGUAGGCGGAUAGUUUAGUCAGAGGUGAAAGCCCAGGGCUCAACCUUGGAAUUGCCUUUGAUACUGGCUAUCUUGAGUACGGAAGAGGUAUGUGGAACUCCGAGUGUAGAGGUGAAAUUCGUAGAUAUUCGGAAGAACACCAGUGGCGAAGGCGACAUACUGGUCCGUUACUGACGCUGAGGCUCGAAAGCGUGGGGAGCAAACAGGAUUAGAUACCCUGGUAGUCCACGCUGUAAACGAUGAGUGCUAGUUGUCGGCAUGCAUGCAUGUCGGUGGACGCAGCUAACGACAUUAAGACACCUCCGCCGUCGGGGUAGGUACGGUCGCGAAGAAUUAAAACUAACAAUAGAAGUUAGACGGCGUGAGACGUGCCGACGGACGACGACGAGGGAGGAGG
rnacentral:rRNA from 1 species